GAUGAACGCUGGCGGCGUGCCUAACACAUGCAAGUCGAGCGGCAGCGAGGGGUGCUUGCACCCUGUCGGCGAGCGGCGGACGGCUGAGUAACGCGUGGGAACGUGCCCCAAAGUGAGGAAUAACUGCCCGAAAGGGUAGCUAAUACCGCAUAUUAUCUUCGGAUCAAAGGAUUUAUCCGCUUUGGGAGCGGCUCGCGUCGGAUUAGGUAGUUGGUGAGGUAAUGGCUCACCAAGCCGACGAUCCGUAGCUGGGCUGAGAGGAUGACCAGCCAGACUGGAACUGAGACACGGUCCAGACUCCUACGGGAGGCAGCAGUGAGGAAUCUUCCACAAUGGGCGAAAGCCUGAUGGAGCAACGCCGCGUGCAGGACGAAGGCCUUCGGGUUGUAAACUGCUUUUAUAAGUAAGGAAUAUGACGGUAACUUAUGAAUAAGGAUCGGCUAACUACGUG
rnacentral:rRNA from 1 species